rnacentral:rRNA from 1 species
GAAUAUUGGACAAUGGGCGCAAGCCUGAUCCAGCAAUGCCGCGUGGGUGAAGAAGGCCUUCGGGUUGUAAAGCCCUUUCGGCGGGAAAGAAAUGGUCCGUUCCAAUACCACGGACUGAUGACGGUAACCGCAGAAGAAGCACCGGCUAACUACGUUCCAGCCACCGCGGUAAUACGUAGGGUGCGAGCGUUAAUCGGAAUUACUGGGCGUAAAGCGUGCGCAGGCGGCCUUUUAAGCCAGAUGUGAAAUCCCCGGGCUUAACCUGGGAAUUGCAUUUGGGACUGGAAGGCUAGAGUGCGGCAGAGGGGGGUGGAAUUUCCGGUGUAGCAGUGAAAUGCGUAGAUAUCGGAAGGAACACCGAUGGCGAAGGCAGCCCCCUGGGCUAACACUGACGCUCAGGCACGAAAGCGUGGGGAGCAAACAGG